rnacentral:rRNA from 1 species
ACUCCUGCGGGAGGCAGCAGUGGGGAAUAUUGGACAAUGGGCGCAAGCCUGAUCCAGCCAUGCCGCGUGAGUGAUGAAGGCCCUAGGGUUGUAAAGCUCUUUCACCGGUGAAGAUAAUGACGGUAACCGGAGAAGAAGCCCCGGCUAACUUCGUGCCAGCAGCCGCGGUAAUACGAAGGGGGCUAGCGUUGUUCGGAUUUACUGGGCGUAAAGCGCACGUAGGCGGACUAUUAAGUCAGGGGUGAAAUCCCGGGGCUCAACCCCGGAACUGCCUUUGAUACUGGUAGUCUUGAGUUCGAGAGAGGUGAGUGGAAUUCCGAGUGUAGAGGUGAAAUUCGUAGAUAUUCGGAGGAACACCAGUGGCGAAGGCGGCUCACUGGCUCGAUACUGACGCUGAGGUGCGAAAGCGUGGGGAGCAAACAGGAGUAGAAACCCCUGUAGUCCCAUGA